CACGCUCUGUCUCUCUCUGUCUCAAAAAUAAAUAAACGUUAGAAUGAUUUAUUAAAAAAAAUAAAUGCAAUUUAAAGAAUACUGUUUAUUUGCAUUCUGGUAAAUACCUUCACAUGCACGACCUCAAGGACGAUCCGUGGGAGAAGUGGUGCCGUACCUAAUUUACAGAUGAGGAAAACAGAGGUUCAAAUGACUUGCAAAGGAGUUUAACCUUCCAGCCGGAAAUCUGAACCAAGAUCCUGGUUUGUAGGUGAAUGUGUGGGGACCAGCACGUUAGGAAUGGACUUCAGAAUUUAUUUCCGAAGUUAGCGGUUUGUCCCUUUCUGGAGCCCUGCCACAUCUGAGGAUGUGUCUUAGACCCUCUCUGCAUCCAUAUCAUUUGGGUGGGAUUGACUUCAUUCCACUCGUCCAAGAUUGUGCACGUGACCUGCACACGGGCUCACCGCGCGUCCCAUUGCUGUAGCACUCUGAUGAUUAUUUCUGGGAUGAAUUAUGACCCUAGGUGGUCCAUGGGAGUGAGCACUGGGGCUUUUUUUCCGGUGCAAAGAGGGACCCGAUCUUCUUUGAGUAUAACAGCAGCAAGGAUGACAGAAGCCUCGACCUGCUAAGAACCACCACAGGAAUCCCAAGAAUAAAGCCAACACGGGAAAAAGAGCCGAGAGCUGGAGAUAGACUGUGUUCCCAUUGCUUCGCUGCAGCUCCUGGAUCCAGCCAUGCCUGAAUCUAUUCACCACAGAUUUUGGUGACACACGAGACAAUGAGUCCUCUUUUUGCCUUAUUGAGUUGGAUUUCGGACGCCUGAGGUGGUGUGGCCCUUGGGCAUUUGGAAACACCACGUGUGUCGGAGCAGAGGUCGUGACUGGAUCUCUCAGUGUAGAUUCCUUCCAUCGAACUCUCCGGGAUGCCUUGCAAUAAACUCACACAACAUUUCGGUCCCCCCCGGAGGCGACUUCGUUUGUGAAAGAGGAAGACUCACUCAUUUUUGAACCCUGUGUCUCAGGAAUGACUUUCCCACGAGAACUGAACUGCAAAGGAUGGGUGAAUUACAGCUAAAAGGUUGUCACUUGGAAAGUUUUGUUUUAAAUGAGCUAAAUUAAAGGAAUAGUCUCUCCCUUUUAAUGCGCAUAUAAAAUCACUUCACUUUCCUGGUUAACAAUGUAAGUCCCAUUCUCAUUAUCAGAAUCAUAAAAAUGAGUGAGGUGACAGUUUCUUUUUAAAAUGCAAAGUGUUAUAUGCCAGGAGUUAUGAGAAAUUAGCUGGCGAUUCUCCCUCAGUGCAGGUAUAAAAGGGUGACUUUCUUUCUUUUGGUCUUUUCCACGAUUACGAUCCAAUUUUCUUGCCUUAAAAACAGGAAAGGUUACGUGUACCAUCAGCCAAAGAAAACAAGAAGCCACACACAAACUCCUGCCUUUUUACGGAAACAAAGGCAGUGAGCUUUCAAAAGGAAAGUUACAAAUGCAAUGAUAGGAAGACCAUGUGACACACAUUAAUUCAAAAGGGCCCCUUUAUUGGAUUGCGAUCUGAUUGUGUUUACAAAUAUAUAGCCAGAAGGCUUUUAAUUUGGGGGCAAUUUCAUUGUUCAUAGAUAUAUAUCCAGCUACAGAUAUAUAUCUAUGAAAUUAUGUGCUUAUGUGUUUUAAAUGAGAUACAGUUCCUCUCCUUUAAUGCAAUAAUGUUUCCUAUUUUAUGAUCUACAGUUGCCCAAAGUUGGGGCAAUUUUAUAACAAUCUGAUUUGAAAUAUCAUAAUAGAUGAAAGAUGUAAAUACUGUGAUGUUUAGAGACCCGGUUGGAAGUUGAAUUCAUUGGGAUUUAGGUAAACCACCGGAGCGAACAAGGACAGACUUGAUUAAAAUCGCACGGAUUGGGUUCCUCUUGCAAUUCCAGCCACUUCUCGCCUCCUUGCUGUUUAUUUUUCUUUUAAGCCCGAGCUCAAUAAAUAAACCCAGCUAACAAUUAAAAAGUCCUCAAAUGAUUCUAGAUGGAAAAAUUCAAAAAUAGCCUGGCUGGCACUGCUUUUGCUGUGGAGUUUGAUUAAAUUCUCUAAUUGCAUUCGAACGGGCGGGGAAGAUCACAAUGUGUUGGUGCUUUUAGCAUGAGCCGCCGAUGAAAAACUUCAAUUACCACUAAAAAUGGAAAAUGGUCAUAAUAGAUAAAUGCUCUUCCUAUUUGAGAGCAGCCUUUUAAAAAUUACGUAACUGGUUUGGGUGAGAUACUAUUCUAUUUCCUCUUGUGCUCUGCCGAUCGAUGUAUGCCUUCCCUCCAGGCUAGGAACCCCUCCGUCCUCUGGGGGAGGCCUUUUGCCAGCAGCUGGCUUGGCUAAGGCAGCCCUUUUCCUGGCCAGAGACUGAAUGUCCUCCGGCAGAGAGGAUGGAAUCUGAAGGUUUCUUGGAUAGAAGGGCGAACAAAGACCGAGGAAGGUGGGUACCUUUGGAGCAGCCCUGCGGUCUACUGUUGACUUGGACCCCGCUGGGGAAGGUGGGUGAAUUAGGGGCGGGGCAGAGGGCAGAAAAAAUUGCCAGAGAGUUGCCAAUUUUCAAGUCCCGCUUUAAGCCAAAUCUGCCCCCAUCUUCUGGAAAAAUGUUUUGCUCGUCACAUCGGGCUCGGCUCAAACGUUACCUCCUCCAGGAAGUCCUCCCCCCACCAUCUCCUCUGUGCUCCCAGGAUGCUGUGUACCGUCUACUGUGGCACGGUCUGCAUUUGAUGGGAUCCUGGUCCCGACCACCUCUUGCCUCCCCUUUGCCCCCUUGGGAGCUCCCCAGGGCCAGAGCCCAUAUCUGGGUAUUCUGUGUCCAGCCGUGUAGUUCCCUGGGGCUGUUCAUGCCACCCCUUCUGUGUCUCUCCCCCUCACCGGCAGGCAGGAGCUUUAGAAUCACAUAGACCCUGACUCCUGUGCUGCCCAUUUUUAGCUGGGCGAUGUCUUCACCCUUCAUGCCUUGGCUUCCCCAUCUGCAGAAUGAAGGUAAGUCUAUCCACCUCCUAAAAUUGCCGAGCAAUGGAAAUAAAGGAGGUGAAGGCAGCUAGCCAGUGCUGGGAGCACCUGACAGGCUCUCAGGAGACACCAGGUUAUUUCCUUUCUGCUUCUUUUUCCUGAUUUCCCUCCUUCUACCCACUGCCAUGGUCACCGGCACUGUCACCACCCCCACUGUCACCACUCAACGAGUAAUUGCUGAGCGCUAGGCACUGCGUUGAUGGCUUUACACAGACCAUCUUAUCUACCUCUCCAGUCCUUUUUCUUCCCCUCUUUGCCCAGCCCUGGCCUCAGUUUCCCCAGCUCCUGGGCUCUCUGUAGCUUUUCAUUGCAUGGCCCCCACAGAGGGGGGUACCCAGCCCAGGCUCCUGGGGUUAAGCCUCUGCUUUUGCAGCCCAGAGACCCCCCCAAUGUCCUCUACAUCGGAGAGAAGGCUUGGUGCCUUCCCAGGAGAGGGGACAGACCAGACAGCACCACCUUGAACCACAGUGCUGCCCAGAGCACCCCUCCCCUUCGUGUCAUGUGGUCUCUGUACCCCUCCCCUGCCUAGCUCUGCUGUCCAGACACUUCAGGGGACACCUCUGCCUGAUGGUCCUGAGCCUGCCUGACGCCCUCGGCCUGUCUCGGCAGGUCCCCUGUCACCGUGGCUUCCUCCCAUCAUGCCUCAGACCUACCCGUGCCCGGCCAGGUGCGACACCUUCCCUGCAUUCCCUCCUCCAUUCUUUCCGCAACCCCCCACCUCCUCCCGCCUUUGCAGCCCUGCCUGAUGUCCCCUCUUCUUGUCCCCAUUCUGUCUCUUCUCUCCCGUUCCUCAAUGGCUGCAACCAAGCCCCUAACGUUUUAUGGCCAGUCUGUCAUUUCAGACACGCACACGACACGGCUGCUGCUCUGGAGGAGGCCGGACCUAGCGGGGAAGACAGAGCAACCACCUAGGACCACAGAACCCCGUGCGCCACGGAGAGUGGAUGAAUGCAGUGCCCCACACGUCGGUUCAUAUAACCAGAGCGCGAGGUCAGGAUGGGGCGAAGCAGCUUUGUAGAAUCGCGAGGCAGGUGCCUGGGGGAUCUUAUUCAAUAUAGGUCAACAGGAUGAUACGACAGUUCAUAAAAAGCUAAUGGGAUCUGAGGCUGCGUUACGAGGGGUUCAGAGCUUAGAUCAAGGGAGAAGGAAGCCUGCACUGCUCCCUACACCUCAGGCAUUGUGCUCACUUCAGAGUGGGGCGCGGGGGCACCAGAAGGAAAAGCAAAUUGGAGGACAGUUACAGGAAGGCGAUUAGCGGGGUCGGGGGAGGGGGGGACGCUGACAUCUGGUCACACACACAGGGGGGCAUGGCCGACGGCAGGGGAGCGCGUUUCGCCUGGAGAAGUCUGUGAUACAGUGCUGCCCGUGUCACUCCGCUGUGGCCCGAGUCAGGACGGCUGGAGAGCAAGCGGGAGGCACAUCACCAGGGAAGCCGACGUGGGCACGGGCUACUGAAGAGCCGUGGCACCAGCUGAGCGACGCUGCCAACCCUCGUUGGAGGGAGGCCCUUCCCGAACAGAGAGGAGGUGCACGAGCAGGGACCCUGCACCAGGGGACGCUGGGCAAAGGGCUGGGGUCAUGGUCACCACGUAGCCUCCUUGCCUCUCAGCCUUUCCACUGCUGGGAGCUUCGCCAGGCAAAACCAGUCUGUGCUCCUGCCCUCCUUCCCUCCCUCUGUCCUUCUGGGUGGGGACAGCCAGGGCUCGCAGCACCAGGUUGCUGACGUCCUCAAGGGCCGUGACUUUGCAGCAAGGGCCCUGGUACGUCCUGCGGGGAAAGUUUUGUCUUAGGACUUGUACUUUACUUCCUUCGCUCCUGAGUGCACGUAGCUCAGCAAAGGGAAGAUGUUGAGAGGGUUGAAUGAGCCACACAGGUUGAUGGUGCCGGAAGCCUUCAGAGGUCUGCACCUGCAGGGGAGAACGCAGGUGGGACCCUGGUGGAGGGCCUGUAACAGGCACAGAGCCCUCCUCUGGGCCAGCCCCCGAGUCUCCUCGUCUCGUCCUCUGCAUGAAUGCCCAGAAACCGAGAGUCCUGUCCUUCUCUGCCGCCCGAAUUCUAGUGUUCCCCCCCCCCCCGAUCCUUCACCUCUCCUCGGCAGCCAGAGGUCUGAAGUGGGUCCCGUUGGACUAAAACAGGGUGCCAGCAAGGCGUUGUCCCUUUGGGAGGCUCAGGGGGAGAAUCCGCCUUCUUGACCUCUCUGUUUUCUAGAAGCCACCAGGUCUCUGGUUUGUAGCGUCUUUUCCCAUCUUCAAAGCCAGCAGCAAAGGCGGCAUCUUAAAAUCGCUUUCAGAAUCUGACUCCUGUGUUGAGCCACACAGAUCAGCCAGGAUCACGUCCCCAUCUCAAGGUCCUUAACUCAGUACUAUCAGUAAAGCCCCUUUUUGCCAUCUAUGGUGAUGUGUUCGCAGGUUCUGGGGGUUAGGAUGUGGCAUCUUUAGGGCCCUUAUUCUGCCAACCACAAGAGUCCGGGAGCAUGCCCCAGUUGCCUUCUUUAAUGCCAUGGCUUUCAGCUCUCAGGGACGGGAAGGACGGACAGGCGGCUCAAGCCUGGUGUGCAAUGUGCUCUGUGAACUGGCCCCCACCGCCUUCUCCUCCUUCCUCUAGAGAAUCCACCCGCUUGAUGGGACUUGGCACUCCACAUGGCCCUCUUGUCAUCCAAGACAUUUCUCCACUGUCAUUUCUGCCCAUGAGCUGCCCCGAGGCCCUCUUCCGCCUGCAUGCAUCCUUCCAGAACUGUAGCCCCACCCAAGCCGGACCUCAGUGGCGAUCACUCCUCUGUCCUCCCCUUGGCUGCUCUAGGAAUGCUCUGGUCUUGCUCCGGGGUGCCUGCCCGACCAGUGUUCCCACUGACCUGUCCCCCAACCGUGUCCUGGGCUACUUAAGGUCACCUGAGGUCACUUCCAGAGCACACACUGGUGGCCACAGAGCAGAUCCACGUUUCUAAGUGUUGAAGUCAGCAGUGGCAGGUACUCUGGAGACCCCGAAUAAAGUGACCAGUGUGCCAUAUGCCUAUCGGCUUACGCUCCUCUUAAAUUAAGCCCCAGUAGCUCAUUACAUAAAGACCAGACUCCCCACCGUGGCGUCCCAGGACCUGUAUGACUAUGAUCUGGCUCUGUCUCUUUGUUUUCUCCAGCCUCAACCUCAGGCCAGGGUCUCCCUUGCCCCUUGGCCAGCUACCUGGGCCGUCUUAUCGUUCUUCAAGAACACCUCCACCCUCCUGGACCUUGACUUUGGCUCACACCUCUCUGCUCCUCUGUUGGCUGCCUCUGUCCCCUCCUGAUUUCACUGAUGUCGUGUAUACUCGUUCCUCAGGGAUUGCCCAGCAUGCAUUCUGUUCCUUGGGAGCCUUCCUGACCCUCCAGAUGAAGUCAGAGACACUCGCUGCUGGACGUUUGUGGCUCUGUGCACACUUCCGCACCUCCCAGUGCCUUCAUGGCACCUCACAGGGGCCCAUUACCUGGGAGUCCAUCAGGUGACCAGUGUUGAUGGAGAGGUCCUAGGACAUGGACCCUGGGAUAGGAUUUUGGAGCCAGAUCACCUGCUGACCCACUGGCAAUAAAAAGCCCAUCACUGGUAGUCGGUGCCAUAUGGGUAGACGCGGGCAUGCUGCGGCAAUGCGACGGGGGUCCUGCUCACUGUCCGAACUCCCUGAGGCCACUGUGAUCCUGGCCCCGCCUUCCCUCGGCCCAUUCCCACCACCCACUUCUGCUACUUUUCAAGAGCCCUGGGAGCCAGCUACAAAAUGAGUCCUGGUGCUGUAGGCUGGACGGAGAAGGAGAGAAGGCAUUCGCUUGCUGAUGGAAAGCCCCCCGGGGAGGAGGCUGCAUGGGGCCCGCACAGCCGUAAGAGUCUGCACGCGAAAAGAGGGCAAAGGCAACAAAUUAUCUCCCCAACUUGUGGCUUUGCUGCAAAGGCCUCUGGGAAGCUCUUUCAUACGCGUCUUGCUGUUCUAGCUGACCACAUCCUGCAACUCCGCAGGCAGGACUAGACCCGAGGCGGCCAGCGGCGGGGCGCUAAGCUUGCUUCUCGUUGGAACCCACUGCUCUGUCUUAGCCGCCGGGAGAGGACGGGCCGGGGCAGUUGUGACUGUGGACUGUGCUGGGGGCUGUCCUGAAGGGGGAGGAGUUGGCCCAGCACCUUCUCGCUCCGGGGCUCUCACACCCGCGCUCUCUCGCUUGCUUCUCUCCGGAGCACUGUGAGGUGGGCAUCCAUGAAUCCCUCUGCAGAUGCCGAAGGCGGGAGAUGGCAGUCGCUGGCUCGACGACCCCGAAGCACCCUUUCUUCUUCCUCCAAACAUCUUCAUGGUUGGAUGAUCGCCGCUUACUGCCUCAGAACGUUGAGAAUGUACUGAAUGGCAAUGGUGUGAAUGUGGCCACCUCGUCUGGAGCCAAAACCCUCGAACAGGGGCCGGGUUCCUGGCCUGGCCUGGCAGGUGCAGGAUGGGACAGGGCACUCCUUGCUCUGGUUUUCUGCAUGGGACAUCUGGAGCCGGGAGGACCAGUGAGAAAACGCACGUGGGAGUUCAGCCCGGUGCCAGCCGUGCAGGCCAGGGAGCUGAUAUUCGUUAUUCUGGGGACUGGGGGCCCACGCUUCCUUUCCUUCCUCCCUGGCUGGUGGCCACUGGGAUUGGAUCAGACUACGACUGUCUUGGCGUGUUUCACAUGGCAAGAUGGGUGGGAUGCGGAUCGUGCGGUGGCGUGAGAAUAGGCACCCAGGAGUGGCUUACGCUGUCUCGAUUCUGCUAGAUGGGGAAGUGCGACCUGCUCUGUGCUGUUCACCCUGGGGAGGCAGAGCUACAGGUGGUCGGGGGAGCCUAGAAGAAGGUACUUGCCCAUAGGCUGAACCGGUUUCCCGGUUGAGACCUCGCGGAACUUGUUGGAGGCCAUUCAGCAGAGACAGGCUUGAGGUCUGAGCUAUCACUUCUCCAGCCUUGCCGUGUGUGUGUGUGUGUGUGUGUGUGUGCAGGUAGGAGAGAGGUAGAGUUAUGUCCUGUCUCAGCAAGGUUCUGCGGCUGCUUCUCAGCAUGGAUCUUCAAUUGCUUGCUUCUUCUUCUGUCUGUCUUCUUUCCUUUCUUGCCUCGUCUGUGCACAAUCCAUACAUUUUUCUGCAUGAAACAUCUGGUCUAUUUUCCGUCCGGCUGGGAAACACCACCUGGUUAGGGAGGGAUCUGGGCCGCCCCUGCGCGAGCUCACAGUGCUGAGAACCAGAGCAGCCGGACUGCCUGUCUGACCCGAUGCCUGCGGUCACCGGGGGGGAAGCUGAGGCACAGGGGGAAAGGAGGCACCCAAGAGCUUCAUAGCUUCUUAUGAUCUCAACAGAGGUGGGAUCUGAAGCCAGGCUUUUUUACACAGUAUUUUUUUUUUGUUUGAAAUUUGAAAAAAAUAAAAACAAUCGCCUCAAUUUCCUACCAUCCAGAAUUACCUACUUAUGCUUUUUCAUAUUUCCUUCAGUUAUUUUUUCCAUGUACAUAGUUGAACCAUUCUGCAAGUAAUGCACGAGGACACUUUAAAAACUUCAAGGACCGUACAGAUAAAUCUACAGCUGCGCGCCUCCCCGCCCCCCAGCUCUAUUCCUAUCCUGGUCCGUUUCCUUUUCCACAGAAGUGGCCGUUAUUAUGAAUUUCAUGUUCUUCCUUCCCAUCCACUUAAAAUUACGCCCAUCUCCCCCAAACUAUGUAUUACUGUUUUCGUGAUUAAACAUUUACAUAUUUACA